CCGGCACCGGUUCACCCCGCUCGGGGACCCGGGGCC
ncrna:Amycolatopsis japonica L31-Actinobacteria ribosomal protein leader